rnacentral:lncRNA from 1 species
AGAAUCUGGCCUCUAAGGUCCUUAUGAAGGUGUACUCCUUAAGAACGCAAGCAGCAAUGCCACUUCCAUCUUGAGGAAGUGUAAUGAGGGAACCAGCAAUGCUGGUUUCAGUGUCUCAGUUUGGCUGGAAAGGAUUUAAUCCUGACGCUGCAACAUUAACUUUCUGAGCAUAUGCUCUGUCCCCGGGGAAGACGACAGUCAAGGGAAUCUUGAACUUCUUGGAAAAUAAGAAAAUUAAGGGCUUCUUUUAAAAGGCAUGGGAGUGGCAUAGUGAGAUCCUGGCAGGAGCACUGUUCACAAUAGCAAAGACUUGGAAUCAACCCAGAUGCCCAUCAUUGAUAGACUGGAUAAAGAAAAUGUGGUCCAUAUAUAUCAUGGAAUACUAUGCAACCAUAAAAAGGAACAAGACCAUAUCCUUUGCAGGGACAUGGAUGAAGCUGGAAACCGUUAUCCUCAGCAAACUAAUGCAGGAACAGAAAACCAAACACUGCCUGUUCUCACUUAUAAGUGGGAGCUGAAUGAUGAGCACACAUGGACACAUGGGGGAACAACACACACUGGGGCCUGCUGGGGGGUUGUGGGGAGGGAGAGC